AUGGGGGAAACCCUGACGCAGCAACGCCGCGUGGAGGAAGAAGGUCUUCGGAUUGUAAACUCCUGUCUUCAGGGACGAAUCAAUGACGGUACCUGAGGAGGAAGCCACGGCUAACUACGUGCCAGCAGCCGCGGUAAUACGUAGGUGGCGAGCGUUGUCCGGAAUUACUGGGCGUAAAGGGCGCGUAGGCGGCUCUUUAAGUCAGAUGUGAAAACCCAGGGCUUAACUCUGGGACUGCAUUUGAAACUGAAGGGCUUGAGUGCAGGAGAGGUAAGUGGAAUUCCUAGUGUAGCGGUGAAAUGCGUAGAUAUUAGGAGGAACACCAGUGGCGAAGGCGACUUACUGGACUGUAACUGACGCUGAGGCGCGAAAGCGUGGGGAGCAAACAGGAUUAGAUACCCUGGUAGUCCACGCUGUAAACGAUGGAUACUAGGUGUGGGAGGUAUCGACCCCUUCCGUGCCGCAGUAAACGCAAUAAGUAUCCCGCCUGGGGAGUAC
rnacentral:rRNA from 1 species